rnacentral:tRNA from 1 species
CAGGGGGUAGUUUAGUUUGAAAAUUCCAGCUUUGGGAGUUGGAGAUGAAGGUUUAAGUCCUUUCCCCUUGA